rnacentral:rRNA from 1 species
AUUGAACGCUGGCGGCAGGCCUAACACAUGCAAGUCGAACGGGUGGCGGACGGGUGAGUGAUGUAUGAGAAACUGCCUGAUGGAGGGAGAUAACGAAUGGAAACGGUAGCUACUAGCGCAUACCAUCGGAUGUGCCCAGAGGGGAUUAGCUAGUAGGUGGGGUAAAGGCUCACCAAGGCGACGAUCCCGAGCGGGUCUGAGAGGAUGACCAGCCACACUGGAACUGAGACACGGUCCAGACUCCUACGGGAGGCAGCAGUGGGGAAUAUUGCACAAUGGGCGCAAGCCUGAUGCAGCCAUGCCGCGUGUAUGAAGAAGGCCUUCGGGUUGUAAAGUACUUUCAGCGGGGAGGCGUUACCCGCAGAAGAAGCACCGGCUAACUCCGUGCCAGCAGCCGCGGUAAUUC